GUAGACCGGCGCACGGGUGCGUAACGCGUAUGCAAUCUACCUUUUGCAGAGGGAUAGCCCAGAGAAAUUUGGAUUAAUACCUCAUAGUGUUAUUAGAUGGCAUCAUUUGAUAACUAAAGUUCCAACGGUAAAGAUGGGCAUGCGUCUUAUUAGCUAGAUGGUAAGGUAACGGCUUACCAUGGCUACGAUAGGUAGGGGUCCUGAGAGGGAGAUCCCCCACACUGGUACUGAGACACGGACCAGACUCCUACGGGAGGCAGCAGUGAGGAAUAUUGGACAAUGGGCGCAAGCCUGAUCCAGCCAUGCCGCGUGCAGGAAGAAGCAUCUAUGGUGUGUAAACUGCUUUUGUACGGGAAGAAACACUCCUACGUGUAGGAGCUUGACGGUACCGUAAGAAUAAGGAUCGGCUAACUCCGUG
rnacentral:rRNA from 1 species